AUGAGUAGGGCGGGACACGUGGUAUCCUGUCUGAAUAUGGGGGGACCAUCCUCCAAGGCUAAAUACUCCUGACUGACCGAUAGUGAACCAGUACCGUGAGGGAAAGGCGAAAAGAACCCCGGCGAGGGGAGUGAAAAAGAACCUGAAACCGUGUACGUACAAGCAGUGGGAGCACGCUUAGGCGUGUGACUGCGUACCUUUUGUAUAAUGGGUCAGCGACUUAUAUUCUGUAGCAAGGUUAACCGAAUAGGGGAGCCGAAGGGAAACCGAGUCUUAACUGGGCGUUAAGUUGCAGGGUAUAGACCCGAAACCCGGUGAUCUAGCCAUGGGCAGGUUGAAGGUUGGGUAACACUAACUGGAGGACCGAACCGACUAAUGUUGAAAAAUUAGCGGAUGACUUGUGGCUGGGGGUGAAAGGCCAAUCAAACCGGGAGAUAGCUGGUUCUCCCCGAAAGCUAUUUAGGUAGCGCCUCGUGAAUUCAUCUCCGGGGGUAGAGCACUGUUUCGGCAAGGGGGUCAUCCCGACUUACCAACCCGAUGCAAACUGCGAAUACCGGAGAAUGUUAUCACGGGAGACACAC
rnacentral:rRNA from 1 species